rnacentral:tRNA from 2 species
GGCCCCAUCGUUUAGCGGCCUAGGACGCUGCCCUUUCACGGCAGUAGCACGGGUUCGAAUCCCGUUGGGGUCACCA